CCUACGGGAGGGUAGGCGGAAUCUUCGCCGGGGAGUUCGGCCGCACGGUUGAAACUCAAAGGAAUUGAUGGGAGCCCGCACAAGCGGUGGAGCAUGUGGUUUUUUUGAAGCAACGCGAAGAACCUUACCAGGUCUUGACAUCCUCUGAAAACCUUAGAGAUAGGGCUUCUCCUUUGGGAGCAGUGUGACAGGUGGUGCAUGGUUGUUGUCAGCUCGUGUCGUGAGAUGUUGGGUUAAGUCCCGCAUCGUGCGCAACCCUUGAUCUUAGUUGCCAUCAUUAUGUUGGGCACUCUAAGGUGCCGGCCGGGGGGAAAAUGAAAAACAA
rnacentral:rRNA from 1 species